UUGCCGUCUAUUUCAAGUUUGUUGGAGCUUGAAGGUGAUAGUGAGGCGAUUGAGGAUUAUUUAGGUGAGAACGCUCCGACGCUGACUACUGCGAAUUUGAAAGCUUUUGUGAAUAAACAAAUGAAAAGUGAGAAAGAGGCGUCUUGGACGAACAUGGAGGGUGCUCAAUCUGUGGUUCACCGAGAUGCAGGGAAGAAGAGGAAAAUUGCUUAGCUUCAAUGACUAAGGUCGUUGAUUUGACUGUUGGAAAGGAUGGUGGUGGUGCUUUCUCGAUGGAGGAGUUCAGUUUAUAUAAUUCAUUCUUUGUUAAUUUAAUGUAGCAAGCAAGCAAGUGCAUCUUGGUACUCUUAAAUGACUAAUACUUUUAGUUGUAUUAUAGUAGUGAAUAGUAGGGAUGAUAAUAAUAUACUCACCCAUGUGCAAUGGGAUUUCUAUAAA